UGCACUCCAGCCUGGGCAACACAGUGAGACUCCGUCAAAAAAAAAAACAAAACAAACAAACAAAAAACAAAUGGCCUAAUGAACUGGGUUCCCAGGCAGGUUCCUCAAGGAGAGAUGUUGCAUCCUGGCACCCACAUCCCUGCACUUAAAAGAUCAAUGGCCUUGAUUUGUCUGAAAUUACCUCACAGAGAGGAUUUCUGUUAAUGAUUACAGAUGCUUCCCAAUACACUUUAUGGGACCUCUUCAGUGGUGUGUGUGGGGGGUCUCUGCUGUCCCUAGCACGGGAAAGAUGCUUUCACCAGAAGAUAAAUUGGCAUGAACCCUACCAGGCCUGGGGGGUAGGAGCUUCUGUAGCCUUUUCAAGUAAAAGGGAAAACCCACACUUGGAUUAGCAAAAAGGUUAAAAAAAAUUUUUUAAAUGCCUGCAUUUUCAUUAGUUCAUGUUAGGUUCCCCAUUUUCAGGGGAGAGAGAAGAUGAGUGGUCUGGUCUGACAGCCCAGAUGUGAAUUCUGGCAUUAACAUGUCUCAUCAGCUUUUUGACUUUGGAGAAGGUACUGAGCAUAUCCAAGCUGCAGCUUCCUCAUGGAGGGCAUUCCCACCUUGGGUUGUUAUUCUAAGGAUUAAAGAAGAUAAUACCGAAUGGCUGGCACAUUGUAGGUGCUCAGAGCAGGUGGCCUCUGUAGGUACUCGGUGUGGGGAUUCUCGUUUCACUGGUGGCCUCUGCAGGUACUCUGUGUGAGGAUUCUCAUUUCACUGGUGGCCUCUGUAGGUACUCGGUGUGGGGAUUCUCGUUUCACUGGAACUCUCCCUCAGCUCUGGUGGGAAAUAGAACUCAAACCAUUUUUGCAUAGCUUAGCAGGAAUUGCAUGGAGUUUUUUACAUUAUUUGAAAAUUGGAACUUGCAUUUCAUUUUUUUAAAAAUCCAAAUUCUGGGACACAAAUCCAUAAAUUUCAUAAAUGUUCAUGCCAUGCCUUGAAUUGCUCAUUUUAUCUGCAAAUGGGCUGUCUGGAUUGCCUGGUGGCUCAGUGGCGAGGCUUUUAUUCACCUACCAACUUAAAAGGCUGAGGAGGUAUUUGAGAUCUAUUUUGGCAUUCUGCACAGGAAGAUUAUUUAAAUUACAUUUUCAAGUAUGUGUGAUACCUACAUGAAGCCCAAAGCAAGAAUUCGAAAUGUGUUUUAUAUUCUUACAAAUAUAUUUUGCUUUAUUUUUCAUAUUAGAGAUGGAAAGCCUUAUUAUUUUUUAAGAACUUAAAAGUAUUGUUUACAAAGUUAUACAAAUAUAAGCUAUAAAAAAGGCUUGCUGUGACCCUGUGAACUAAAUGAAGAAAAUGAUAGAAAGAAUAUGAAAUGUGCUUCCCAUUUCAAAAUCUCAAAGAAAUGAUAACUUAUAUUUGGGGUUUCCAACUUGAAUAUUCUGUUGCAAAUAAAUAAAAGCCAUUAGUUUCAACAGAAAAAGAAAAGAAAAUGGCUUCCCUGAAAACAAUUCAAAGGAUUGCAACCCUGAAGGACAGAGACUAAUUCUAGCAUUUGUAGUACUGGGAGAGAUAAGGAAUUGAUGAAGUGUCAACAGGAAAAAAGAAAACAGAACAGUGGGAUCAUUGAACACUUUUAUUGACGGAGAUCUGCAGAGAGGUCCCCCCCGCCCCAAACUUUUAUGAGUAUUAUAAGGCAGUGGCUGAAACUGUGAUGUUCUCAGACAUCUCUAUGGAAUAUGUUCUUGGAGCAGGAAGGAGCCUCUGGAGCCUCCUCUCAUUUGGACCAUCUUCCUUUCAUACCAAAAAAUGUAGCUCAGAGGCCAGGCCAGGAUGAACUAGAACAAAAUCCCAGUCUCCUGACUCUACGUCAGCUCCCUUGCCCGUGACACCAAAUGAACUGGUCCUGUCCUUUGCUCUGGAAACCACCAAGACAAAGCUUGAUGUCUCCCUUUAGUGAUCCUCACCACCACCCUCCCAUCCCCAAAAUAAACCACGCUGUAAAAUAAAGCAAGAAAAUCUCUUCCUGUGUUCAAGCUCAUCCCCUGGCUUCACCUCCCUGCAUCUUAGCACUUGGAAGGUUGCUUCCCAGUAGCAAAGUAUCCCCGAAGGGAGUAACUUACUGAGCGCAAACAUAGUCUGAGGACUGAGACCCUCUUUGUCCAUAAUUCAUUUCAUCUCCAAGAGAAGCCCAGGAGGCAGGUAUUCUCAGCUGUCUGUCACAGAGAAAAGCUGAGGUCCAGAGGGGUUAAUAAGCCUGCGCACGCAGGUCAGGAGAGGGAAGGUCAGCAUCUCAGGACCUGCAGAGUGGAGAGCCCGGUCACCCCACCCUACCCCUCUCCUGAAUCUCACUCUGGAAAAAUGGAAGAAGCAAGUGCAUGGGAGGUUGACCUCAGCCAACUGGCUGGGAUGAUUUAAAAUAUUUUGGGUUAUGAUAAAUGUGGAGAGAGACAUCGAAACUGAUUUGUCAAGAACAUUAGAAAAUGAAGUGCUGACAUUUCCAUGCCAUUCAAAUAGGGAGUGCUAAGGCACAGGAGAGCCUUUGGCAGCAACAGCCUUUUUGCUUCUGAUCUCGGCUCAGCGCUGCUUUCUCUCUGCUGCUCACAAUGCGCUGCUUUUCUGUGAUGCAUCUGGCCAGAGCCAGGGAACACGGCACUCAACAUUCCAGAGAAGAGCCACAAGAUCGUUUUCAGGACUGCAGCGGCUGUUGAGAGACCGUCUAAUGCCACCCACCUCCUCUCCCCAAAAUUGGGCCAUUCCCAGCUAACCAGGUGGAAGACUUUGAUCUCUAUUAAGUGGGUAGGUUUUGGCAAGAACAACCUAAUCAUCCUGCUAGAGAGUGCACAGCCAAAUUGGGAUGGGAUUGCCUCACUGUGCCCAGCUUUCCCCUUGGCUCUUGGAGGGGGGGAACCUGGGAAGCUGGGAAAUCGGACUCUAAGCCCACACCUUCGUGAUUCCUCAGCGUUUAUGCACAGCUGCUGCAGCGGUGCACAAUCUUCCAUGUGGGUUCUUUCAGCUCUGUGACUUAAAUAGUCCCCUUAUGCCUCCUCUGUAAUUGUGAUGCAGUGUUUAUUCUGUUUGGGCACUGGUAAUUAGAGCAAAUUCAGAGAUUUCCUAUCCUCUGACAGGUCUCUCUGAAGAAUGCCUGAUUCUGAGUGAUUUGUCAAUAUGAGGACAUAAGAUACAGCAAGUAUAUCAUUUCUACCCAUCUAGCAUCAAUAUCUAGGUUAACGCAAGUCACAUCACACAAACAUGUUCUGUGAUGGCUUUUUAUUCCUGCUGCUGGGAGAAUGAGACCUUUUUCAUGUUUCCAAGAGAUGCUGUCAUAUACAUUAUCCAUACAUAUUAGGUAUAUGUGUAUCACACACACAGAGUUCCAAAGCAGGACCCCAGGUUGUGUGGGCUGAUGAGCAAUUAAGUGUAUAUUUGAACAGUCUGAAUGCCGAUGAACUGUGAACCCCUCAAAGGCUGGGCCCUAAUUCCUUUGACUCUCAUAUCCCCUCAUUGCCUGGCACAGUAUCCAUCACUUCGGUGAAGUGUGGCAGAAAUCUUCUAAAUGUGCGAAUGAAUGAUGGGCAUGUGUGCUUGGCAGUCACACAAGUUGGAUUGCCUGCACCCAUAUUCUGGCCUGAACAUUUUUAGCUGUAUGAAUGUGGUCACUGUAUUUACAAACCAUAUAAUAGAAGUCCAUAAACUAUGGUCUGUGGCCCAAAUCUGGCUACCACCUGUUUUUGUAAAUAAAGGUUUAUUGGAACACAAGUAUGCCGUUCAUACAGAUUGUCUGUGGGUGCUUUCAGGAUACAAUGGCAGAGUUGAAUCAUUGUGACAUAGACUGGCUCUCAAUAUGUAUUUACUAUUUGGCCCUCUGCAGAAAAGUUUGCUGACCUCUGCCAUAUAGGAACUGACCCGAGACCUAGCAAUAAACACAGAUGUCCAUGAAACUAAGUUCUUACCUCUUAAGUAUGUGUAUGUGCACAUGACCUUUCAUUACUUGUUGGCUUUUUUUUUUUUUGGUAAAGUUAAGGAAACCUUGAUACAGGAUACCACGCUUCGUUUGUAUUAACUCUUUCCAUCCCUCAGAUCUUUCUUCCUUGCUCCCUUGUCUUAAACAUCACUGUGAACGGCACCCUCACAAAGCCCCCGAACUCAGGGGGUUCCUUUAGCUUCUUUUUUUUUUUUUUUUACCACUGUGUGCCUGAGACUCGGGAGAGCUGGGCCUCACACCAAGAAACCACCCUUUCUCAAUGAGGAUGAACAGGACCCCUACUGUCAGGGAACUGACCCCACGAUGGGGUGGCAGGGAUGAUGGGAGGUGGUAAAUGACUGGGUUUCCACCCUUCCUGCAAGGUACUAGACUCUUUGGGUUGGUGUGUUACUUAGGAUUUUCUUUUCUUAAUCAUCCUCUUCCCAUUGCUCUGAAUUAGUAAAGUCACAAAGCCUGAAGCCUCAGGGUCUCAUCACUACCUGCUCAUCAUGUUUAAGGGCCUGGGUCCUCUUGCUCUCUCCCGCUACCCCAAGCCUGCAGAUAACACCCAGCAAAUGCUGAGGGAGUCCUGGCCCGUAGAAGAAUCUGCUUCACUCUGGGCAGUGACAGAUCCUGAUCAUGUGCUUGAUAUCCUCAAAUAAAUCUUCUCACGAUCAUUUCUGGUCUCUCCAAAUAGCAGAGUAUCACUAGGCUGUCACCAGCCAAUGGACACUUCAAGACACUAAAUGUUUGGCGUAGGAAACCUAAGAGGCAAAGAGUGCUGUCAAGGUUGCCACACCGUAGUUGCUGGUGAGUUUACCCAACGAGCCACCAAGACCUACACCCCACUUGUCUGAGGAUCUCCUGCCCAGGAAUCCCAUAGCUGCUACAGGGAAUUCCUAUUGUUCUAAUAAUUGAUUGGGUUUUUAAAAUUCACUGCCCCAUUUGCCUUGUUCUUAGCCUUCAAUGACUCCCAUUAGUGACUUAUUUUGGUAGCCUGUGUGACCCUGAACUUCCCCGGAAGACACAAGCAUAAUACUAAGAGCUCUGAAAUAAGCAGGAUAAUUCUUGGCAUUCAUGCAAGCCCGCACUGCAUAAAGCAGAGUGAUUUUAGUGAAUUGCCCCAGUGUUUUUACAAGGGACUAAAAGGCAUGAUUUUGCAUACUUUUUGCACAUCUAACCUACUUGCAGAAUUCAUCCCACUGAAAUGCUCGUAAAGGAUAUGUCCUUUAUUCUGCGCCCACUGUGUGCUGGCUGUAGAUGGGAGCUUUGUAGAUACUGUAUUUCACCACCCCUAGUUGAUUUCAGACAAAACUGAAGCUCACAGAGGUUAACCUGUCUCAGCCAUAAACAUUCUUUGCCGAAGCCUUUUGGAAAUCUACAUAA